UUCUGGCUCAGGAUGAACGCUAGCUACAGGCUUAACACAUGCAAGUCGAGGGGCAGCAUUGGAGUAGCAAUACUUCAGAUGGCGACCGGCGCACGGGUGAGUAACACGUAUCCAACCUGCCGCUUACUCGGGGAUAGCCUUUCGAAAGAAAGAUUAAUACCCGAUGGUAUAAAGAGUUCGCAUGUUCUCUUUAUUAAAGAAUUUCGGUAAGCGAUGGGGAUGCGUUCCAUUAGAUAGUUGGCGGGGUAACGGCCCACCAAGUCUACGAUGGAUAGGGGUUCUGAGAGGAAGGUCCCCCACAUUGGAACUGAGACACGGUCCAAACUCCUACGGGAGGCAGCAGUGGGGAAUAUUGGUCAAUGGACGAGAGUCUGAACCAGCCAAAGUAGCGUGAAGGAUGACUGCCCUAUGGGUUGUAAACUUCUUUUAUAAGGGAAUAAAGUGAGGGACGUGUCCCUUUUUGUAUGUACCUUAUGAAUAAGGAUCGGCUAACUCCGUGCCAGCCGCCGC
rnacentral:rRNA from 1 species